CUCUCUCUCUCUCUCUCUCUCUCUAAAUAUCUACUUCUACUAUUUACAACAGUCCAUGUGAGAGAGAGAGAGAGAGAGAGGCGGAGGCGGAGCGACGUACGGCGACGGUGACGCAACCAGAUUCCCCUGGUUCAUCCUUCAAAUCUCGUCUUCGCUCUUCACGCUUCGUUUCCUCGUGGGUCGCUGUGCAUGGGGGUUGGGGAGUUCUUGGCGAAUGCGGCGAGGUCGUGUUCGGAUCUGCGUUUUUCUCUUCUUUUUUUUGUCUGGGUCAUCUUGGCCUGGGAUUGCUGUCGAAACGGUGCCUCGAUCGUGUUUGCAGGGGUUGAUUUGUCGGUCUUUCGUGGGUUGGGCUUGUUGGGUGAGCUCGUGUCUUGUUUUGGGUCGCUUGUUAAUGGCGUGGAGGGUGGGGGUGGGGUGAAGUCACUGGAGGCAGCGGUUCAUCGAUCUCUUCCUGGGGUAUUUUGUUGGUUCGAAUUGACAGAACGCAUGAAUCGGUCGAUAAACCUCUGCAUCCAGCGCUCACUCCUCUCUUUUGUUCUGGGUGUGUUUUGCUUUUGUUCUUUUUUUUUUUGUGUUUUUCUUCUUUUUUGGAUCUUGUUGGCUUGGUGAAAUCUUGGGAUGUUGAGAAAGGGGGAGUAGUUUUGGAAUUGGGGGGUCCAAUGAAUGAGAGAGUUUUCCUGGGAACCAUUUGGGACAUUUCGUUUCUGAGUGGAAGAGCUGUUUUUCAAGCAGUCUUUGAUGGAGGAAGAUGACCCGGGAGCUGUUGUGGUGAUUUCGGUAAGCUUGCAACUGUUAGAGCUGUGAUUUGUUGUCGAGACUCAUUUGGCCAUAUGAAGUUAACAAAUUGUUGGCUUAGCUAUAAAUUGCUCCGGGUCAAUUGACCUGCUUUGAAGAAUUACUAUAGUUGCCAAAGCAUGGAGGAAACAAUUGUCAAUUGAAUGUGCGGAGUUGAGUUGAUUUCUCCUCUCGUGCUUCAUCAUCAUCAUCAUUUCAGUUCAUUUCUGGUUCUUCCUCUCAGUCCCAGUUUCUUGGAAUAUUUGCUGAUAUAGGUUCUCUAAUGCAAAAAGAUGUUGAAUUUUGUGGGAACUUGUGGUUUUCCUUUUUUAAGUAGAAGUUUGAUGCCAUUUGCAAAAUGGUCAUUAUCUUCAUUACAAAGCCUGCAUAUGUUUAACAAUUCAAUCAGCUUGUCUUUCUAGAUGCCUUCCUCAAAGCGACUUGUUUAUCCUGAUUCUUCUUCAUAAUUAUCUUUUGACCUUUUGGCCAAAAGUUGUGUCCUUCGUGUUGAUGCAUUGGAAUAUUUACAAGCUCAAGCUUAUUAUUGCUUCUGCACCUUUUUACAUAAGAACUUUGGAGAUUGAUUUUUCCAGAAGUUUCUACAUGGUCAUGAGUGGUUUGAGUUUCGGGAAGUCAUUAGGUUUUUUAUUUUUUUUUCUUCUCUGUUCCUACGUUUGUUAGGGGAAGUGUGAUACUGGCUGUCUGCAAUGUACCGAAUAGUCUUCUCAUGGUCGCCUUCAUUUAGUUUUUGGAUGAAAGUGGUUCCCAUGAACAUGUCAUUUUCUUGAUCUGGUGGUAGAAAAGUGGUUCCUUGGUUCCUUUUGGUGCCCUAAGGGGACCAUCUUUGAAUGAAGUUCCAUGGGUAGGACAAGCUGCGGCUUCAAAGUAAGGAAAACAACAGCUUGUGGACUACAACUUGGGAGAGAGAAUCCGAAACAUUGAAGGAAGCACUUUUGGAAUCUGGCAUCAUGUUCUGCUUAUGAAGCUAGUUUGGAAAGAAAGAAAAAGAUUUGUGAGGAAAGAUUCUUUUGCGUACGCUGUGUAGGAAUCACCAAAUUCUGGGAACCUGGGUCUGUGGAAGAAUCUAGGAUGACAUCUGCAGGCUGAGGAUACUCUCUCUCUCUCUCUCUCUCUCUCUCUCUCUCUCUCUCUCUUUUCCUUUUUGGUUGGUUUUCAUUUUGAUUUUUGCUGUCUUAAAAUGUUUAUGCUCAGCAUAAUAUCUAAUUCCGUGGUUUGAUGGAUUGUUUGUGUACUUUUUUCGUAAGGUUAUGCUGCAGCGGCAUCGUAGUUCUAAUGCUGCAACCGGUGAUGUCGCUUGCAUUUAUUGUGUAUUUGUCACCUACAGGGCACCGUUUACCUAUAGUCGUUCGUUUUUCUAGUUUGACUUUUUCGCUUCUUUUCGAUAAAUGAUUCUUUUUCGGCCUCC